CCUACGGGCGGCAGCAGUGGGGAAUAUUGCACAAUGGGCGAAACCCUGAUGCAGCGACGCCGCGUGAAGGAAGAAGUCUUUCGGUAUGUAAACUUCUGUCAGCAGGGAAGAAAAUGACGAUACCUGACUAAGACGCCCCGGCUAACUACGUGCCAGCAGCCGCGGUAAUACGUAGGGUGCAAGCGUUAUCCGGAUUUACUGGGUGUAAAGGGAGCGUAGGCGGUUUAGCAAGUCAGAAGUGAAAGCCCGGGGCUCAACUCCGGGACUGCUUUUGAAACUGUUGAACUAGAGUGCAGGAGAGGUAAGUGGAAUUCCUGGUGUAGCGGUGAAAUGCGUAGAUAUUAGGAGGAACACCAGUGGCGAAGGCGGCUUACUGGACUGUAAAUGACGUUGAGGCUCGAAAGCGUGGGGAGCAAACAGGAUUAGAUACCCCAGUAGUC
rnacentral:rRNA from 1 species